UACGGAGGGGGCUAGCGUUGUUCGGAAUUACUGGGCGUAAAGCGCACGUAGGCGGCUUUGCAAGUCAGAGGUGAAAGCCCGGGGCUCAACCCCGGAAUUGCCUUUGAGACUGCAUCGCUAGAAUUGUGGAGAGGUAAGUGGAAUUCCGAGUGUAGAGGUGAAAUUCGUAGAUAUUCGGAAGAACACCAGUGGCGAAGGCGACUUACUGGACACAUAUUGACGCUGAGGCGCGAAAGCCAGGGGAGCAAACGGG
rnacentral:rRNA from 1 species